AUACGGAGGGUCCGAGCGUUAUCCGGAUUUAUGGGUUUAAAGGGUGCGCAGGCUGACCGGUAAGUCAGGGGUGAAACUUUACAGCUUAACUGUAAACGUGCCUUUGAUACUGCCGGACUAGAGUUUAAGAGACGUAAUUGGAAUGUGAUGUGUAGCGGUGAAAUGCUUGGAUAUAUCACAGAACGCCGAUCGUGAAGACAGAUUACGAACUUAAUACUGACGCUCAUGCACGAAAGCGUGGGGAUC
rnacentral:rRNA from 1 species